rnacentral:rRNA from 1 species
CGUGUAGGUGGUCUGUUGCGUCUGCUGUGAAAGCUUUCGGCUUAACCGAGACUAGGCGGUAGAUACGGGCAGACUAGAGGGUGACAGAGGAGCGUAGAAUUCCGGGUGUAGUGGUGAAAUGCGUAGAGAUCCGGAGGAAUACCAGUGGCGCAAGCGGCGCUCUGGGUCGAGCCUGACACUGAUACGCGAAGGCAUGGGGAGCGAACG